GUUUGAUCCUGGCUCAGGACGAACGCUGGCGGCGUGCCUAAUACAUGCAAGUCGAGCGGACAGAAGGGAGCUUGCUCCCGGAUGUUAGCGGCGGACGGGUGAGUAACACGUGGGUAACCUGCCUGUAAGACUGGGAUAACUCCGGGAAACCGGAGCUAAUACCGGAUAGUUCCUUGAACCGCAUGGUUCAAGGAUGAAAGACGGUUUCGGCUGUCACUUACAGAUGGACCCGCGGCGCAUUAGCUAGUUGGUGAGGUAACGGCUCACCAAGGCGACGAUGCGUAGCCGACCUGAGAGGGUGAUCGGCCACACUGGGACUGAGACACGGCCCAGACUCCUACGGGAGGCAGCAGUAGGGAAUCUUCCGCAAUGGACGAAAGUCUGACGGAGCAACGCCGCGUGAGUGAUGAAGGUUUUCGGAUCGUAAAGCUCUGUUGUUAGGGAAGAACAAGUGCAAGAGUAACUGCUUGCACCUUGACGGUACCUAACCAGAAAGCCACGGCUAACUACGUGCCAGCAGCCGCGGUAAUACGUAGGUGGCAAGCGUUGUCCGGAAUUAUUGGGCGUAAAGGGCUCGCAGGCGGUUUCUUAAGUUUGAUGUGAAAGCCCCCG
rnacentral:rRNA from 1 species